rnacentral:piRNA from 1 species
UGAUCAGAGUGCAGGAUACAUGAAGGU